UUACUGGAAUAAUGACGUUUCCUCUAAUCCCCUCGUGUGUUUUACAAUACUGUUGCUUCUGGUUAUGCUUCAUAUUUAAAAUAUGUUAUUCAUUCAGUUUUUCCUUUAUCAUAAUAUGCUUUAUUUCUUAAACAUAUAUCACGCACGCAUGUACGCAGACACACACACACACACACACGCACGCGCGCACGCAGGUAGGAGCACACACACACACACACACACACACACACACACACACGUACGCAGGCACACACACACACACGCACGCACGCACGCACACACACACACACACACACACAAACAGAAAAAGGUAAUACGUUAGAUAAAUAUGCAUAGUGUGUGUGUGUGUGUGUGUGUGUGUGUGUGCGAUAUGUUUAAAAAAUAAAGGAUAUUAUCAUAAAGUAAAAGGGGACUCCUGUGCUGAUGUUAGCAGAAAGUCUUCCUCCUACACAUAAAGGAACAUCAUAAAACUACUGAGCCACAGUCAAGGACACCUACACACACACUCACACACUGCAGCACCCUGUCAGGUUCAUCUACAUCCCUUCAACACUGCAGCACCCUGUCAGGUUCAUCUACAUCCCUUCAACACUGCAGCACCCUGUCACGUUCAUCUUCAUCCCUUCAACACUGCAGCACCCUGUCAGGUUCAUCUUCAUCCCUUCAACACUGCAGCACCCUGUCAGGUUCAUCUACAUCCCUUCAACACUGCAGCACCCUGUCACGUUCAUCUUCAUCCCUUCAACACUGCAGCACCCUGUCAGGUUCAUCUACAUCCCUUCAACACUGCAGCACCCUGUCAGGUUCAUCUACAUCCCUUAAACACUGCAGCACCCUGUCAGGUUCAUCUACAUCCCUUCAACACUGCAGCACCCUGUCAGGUUCAUCUACAUCCCUUAAACACUGCAGCACCCUGUCACGUUCAUCUUCAUCCCUUCAACACUGUAGCACCCUGUCAGGUUCAUCUACAUCCCUUAAACACUGUAGCAGCCUGUCAGGUUCAUCUACAUCCCUUAAACACUGCAGCACCCUGUCAGGUUCAUCUACAUCCCUUCAACACUGCAGCACCCUGUCAGGUUCAUCUACAUCCCUUAAACACUGCAGCACCCUGUCAGGUUCAUCUACAUCCCUUAAACACUGCAGCACCCUGUCAGGUUCAUCUACAUCCCUUAAACACUGUAGCACCCUGUCAGGUUCAUCUACAUCCCUUAAACACUGUAGCACCCUGUCAGGUUCAUCUACAUCCCUUAAACACUGCAGCACCCUGUCAGGUUCAUCUACAUCCCUUCAACACUGCAGCACCCUGUCAGGUUCAUCUACAUCCCUUCAACACUGCAGCACCCUGUCAGGUUCAUCUACAUCCCUUAAACACUGCAGCACCCUGUCAGGUUCAUCUACAUCCCUUCAACACUGCAGCACCCUGUCAGGUUCAUCUACAUCCCUUCAACACUGCAGCACCCUGUCAGGUUCAUCUACAUCCCUUCAACACUGCAGCACCCUGUCACGUUCAUCUUCAUCCCUUCAACACUGCAGCACCCUGUCAGGUUCAUCUACAUCCCUUCAACACUGCAGCACCCUGUCAGGUUCAUCUACAUCCCUUCAACACUGCAGCACCCUGUCAGGUUCAUCUACAUCCCUUCAACACUGCAGCACCCUGUCAGGUU
rnacentral:lncRNA from 8 species